GACGAACGCUGGCGGCGUGCUUAACACAUGCAAGUCGAACGAUGAUGCCCAGCUUGCUGGGCGGAUUAGUGGCGAACGGGUGAGUAACACGUGAGUAACCUGCCCUUGACUUCGGGAUAACUCCGGGAAACCGGGGCUAAUACCGGAUAUGAGCCGUCCUCGCAUGGGGGUGGUUGGAAAGUUUUUCGGUCAGGGAUGGGCUCGCGGCCUAUCAGCUUGUUGGUGGGGUGAUGGCCUACCAAGGCGACGACGGGUAGCCGGCCUGAGAGGGCGACCGGCCACACUGGGACUGAGACACGGCCCAGACUCCUACGGGAGGCAGCAGUGGGGAAUAUUGCACAAUGGGCGAAAGCCUGAUGCAGCGACGCCGUGUGAGGGAUGAAGGCCUUCGGGUUGUAAACCUCUUUCAGCAGGGAAGAAGCGCAAGUGACGGUACCUGCAGAAGAAGCGCCGGCUAACUACGUGCCAGCAGCCGCGGUAAUACGUAGGGCGCAAGCGUUGUCCGGAAUUAUUGGGCGUAAAGAGCUCGUAGGCGGUUUGUCGCGUCUGGUGUGAAAACUCGAGGCUCAACCUCGAGCUUGCAUCGGGUACGGGCAGACUAGAGUGCGGUAGGGGAGACUGGAAUUCCUGGUGUAGCGGUGGAAUGCGCAGAUAUCAGGAGGAACACCGAUGGCGAAGGCAGGUCUCUGGGCCGCAACUGACGCUGAGGAGCGAAAGCAUGGGGAGCGAACAGG
rnacentral:rRNA from 1 species